UUGAAUAUUAGGGUUAAUUUUAUAUUUACAGGUCCCUGCAAAUAUAGUAAAUUGUAAAUAUAUUUCUACAAAAUUCAACAUUCAUAUAUUGUCCUGCAAAAGUCGUAAUAUUUUCAAAUAUGUCUCUCUGGUUUGUUACCGUUAAAAUACUGUUUAUUUUAUAUGUGAAAUAACAUUUUGUCAUCACAAAUAUGUCCCUUUAAAAGUUCCAACUAUUAAUUAAAAAUAACUAAAAAGAUUAAUUCACCUCAUUAACUAAUUAACUAGAGUUAAGUAUUUUACCUAUGGUUAACUAAUUAUUUUUAACGGAUCCUAAAGGUAUGGGCAUAUUUGAAAACAUUAGGACUUUUGUAGGGACAAUUAUGAAAGUUGAACUUUGUAUAGAUAUAUUUGCACUAUGUUUAUACGGACCUAUAUAAAAUCAACCCUUGAUUUUAAUAUUAAAUUUCAAUAUUAUAUUUAUAGUCUGAUCAUUUUCACAUUUAAAAUAUUUUAGAAUAUCUAAAAUAUGAUUCGCCGACUUUUAAUUUUAACAAUUAGACAUUUUACAAUUUAUUAGAUAGUUUAACAUAUUCUUUACUCAAAUAAAAUUACUGAUUGAAUAAAACUGAUCGAUGCUCAACUCUAUCUUCAUUUGAAAUAAAAUUAAAAUAUAAAAAGGGUAAAUUAAGCUUUUGGUCCUCAAACUAUAAGACACAUGAUAGUUUAGUCCUCGAAUUUUAAUGGAUUAUAUUUUCUUAGCUCAAACUAUGAGGCACGUGACGCUUUAGAGUUUAUACUUUAAUUAAUUAGUUAUAAUUUCUGGCUCGAUUUAUGAGGUAUAUGACAUUUUAAUCAUCAACUUUUAUUGCUAUUAUAAAUAUAAUUUAUUAUUCUUAUGAUUUUUCUCUUAUUCUUUUUUUUAUAUUUUUAUUCUUAUGCUUUUAUUACAGCCGCUGUUGCUUUUUCAAUUUUUUUGUUUGUAUUCUUUUUUGUUCUCUGACACUAUUUUUUUUGUUUCUUAUUUUUUUAAUUUUAUUUGUUUCUACAGAGUUGACCGGCUGCAACGCACGAGUAUCUUCACUAGUAUAAAAAAAAAAGAUAAGAUUAGUGCAAAAACGUGACUUGAAAUAAUUAGAUAUAAAAUUUAGAAAAAACUUUAACUACCACCCCUAUAAUUUUGCGCUUUCUCACUUUACUACACUGUGGUUUAAAAUGUAUCACUUUCGUAUCCUAUGGUUUCAUUAUCCCCUUUGUUAAUUUUUUAAUUAAAUCAGUGACAAAGUUAAAACAACAAGGUACUAAAAUAAAUAUUCGAUAAACCAUAGGUUAGGUAUCUAAAGUUUUUUGUACAUGAUUUAAUGGAGAGUUAAUGGAGGGGCUGAUGAAAAGAGAAAAAUAAAAUCAUAGGGCACUAAAGUGACACAUUUUAAAUCACAAGAUAUAUUAAAGUGAGAAAGCACGAAACCACAUGGAUGGUAUUUCACUACAACAGAAUUAGGUUAUAGGAACACUGUUUGGGACACUUUUAUAUAAGUGCCCCAUUUAUAUCAAAACUUUUAAAAAAAUCUACUAAUGGCUAAGUAUAAAGCCCAAUCCAACUAAAAAUAAAAGGUUACUCUACUCAACCUACCCCAUCCAGCCCAUUCGGCUUGAUUACAAACAGAAAAGGAAAAAAAAAAAAGAAAAAUUGAUUACCAUCUCCCCUUCUCCCCUCACUCAAUUCACUGAAAUCCUAGAUGAAGAUCCUUUCCCUCUCGUCCUCCUCCGCCACCGCAGCCAACGAGGUAAAGUUCUAGCGGUUGAUAAAUGCUUAAAUAAGUGUUGGUAAAUUAACAGCACUCUUUUUAGGUUAUAGCGACACUUUUAACUGUCACUAUAUACCUAGCGACCCCACAUAUAGCAACACUUUUUAAAAGUGUCGGUAAUUUAGCCAGUAGCUUUUUUUUGACCUAUACCGACAUUCAAAAGU
rnacentral:lncRNA from 1 species